GCGCGUAAAUUGCCCGAAUCCUGACACAGGGAGGUAGUGACAAGAAAUAACAAUACAGGGCUAUCUUAGUCUUGUAAUUGGAAUGAGUACAAUUUACAUCUCUUCACGAGGAUCAAUUGGAGGGCAAGUCUGGUGCCAGCAGCCGCGGUAAUUCCAGCUCCAAUAGCGUAUAUUAAAGUUGUUGCAAUUUAAACGCUCGUAGUCGGAUUUCGGGGCGGGGCCGCCGGUCUGCCGAUGGGUAUGCACUGGCGGUCGCGUCCUUCCUUCCGGAGACUGGCCCCACUCUUAACUGAGCGGGGUCGGGAGACGGAUCGUUUACUUUGAAAAAAUCAGAGUGUUUCAAGCAGGCAGCUCGCUCUUGCAUGGAUUAGCAUGGGAUAAUGAAAUAGGACUUUGGUGCUAUUUUGUUGGUUUCGAACACCGAAGUAAUGAUUAACAGGGACAGUCAGGGGCACUCGUAUUCC
rnacentral:rRNA from 1 species